UUUGACCAAAUCAGCCGGAAUGGGCCCAAUCUCGUCAGAUCUCGGAAGCUGGGCCGACUUGAGCCUGGACAGUGCUUGGAUGGGCGACAGCCAUGCACAGACAGGUGGUUGUCAUAU
rnacentral:rRNA from 1 species